UACGUAGGGGGCAAACGUUGCUCGGAAUCACUGGGCAUAAAGCGCACGUAGGUGGCGCGGUAAGUCUGAUGUGAAAUCCCCCAGCUCAACUGGGGAACUGCGUUGGAUACUGCCGUGCUUGAGGGUUGUAGGGGAGACAGGAACUCCUGGUGUAGCGGUGAAAUGCGUAGAUAUCAGGAGGAACGCCGGUGGCGAAAGCGUGUCUCUGGGCAACUCCUGACACUGAGGUGCGAAAGCUAGGGGAGCAAACGGG
rnacentral:rRNA from 1 species